UGUUCGAAAUAACAAUGGAAGAACAUGUGUAAUAACUAAGGGGAAAUAUAUCAAACCACAUUUGAUUGUCUCGACUCCAUGCACAGUGGCAUUCAAUGAACGCGACGCGUAAUUGUAUUAUAAUUUGCUCACCUGAUCUCUCGCCUUGCGAUCGUCCUCCGGCUGAUGCGGUCUCCGUCCCAUAAGCUCGUGUAUGGCCAGCACAAUUUCGCUCAGCUCGCCGCGACUGAUGCGACCAUCUCCAUUGAGAUCGUACAAUUUGAAGGUCCAGCGCAGACGCUCGUAGACGGAGCCGCGCAACAGCGUCGAUAAGGUGACGACAUAAUUACCCGAAAACUAAUGGCGCCAUUGCAAUUAACAUCGAAGGCUUUGAACACAUAAUGAGCAUAUAAACUGGAAUCUGUGGUAAUAGAAGAAGAAUAAGGAGAAGCAGAAGAAUGUUAUGUUCGGCAACGAUUUUAGUACUUUCAGAUUGCCAGCGAGGGAAAAGGGCGAGGGAGGGGGGAGGGGGGAGGCAAGUGCAAGCACUCUUCCAAAAACUGGCGCACAUAAAUGAAAUGUUGGCUUAAGUGGCGCUUUAUGACGCGCAGCUAUAAAACACCACAAAAAAAAAAGAAAAAAAAAACGAAAAACGCGAAGAAC